UACGUAGGGGGCAAGCGUUGUCCGGAUUCAUUGGGCGUAAAGAGCUCGUAGGCGGCUUGGCAAGUCGGGUGUGAAACCUCCAGGCUCAACCUGGAGACGCCACCCGAUACUGCCAUGGCUAGAGUCCGGUAGGGGACCACGGAAUUCCUGGUGUAGCGGUGAAAUGCGCAGAGAUCAGGAAGAACACCGGUGGCGAAGGCGCUCUGCUAGGCCGCAACUGACACUGAGGGACGAAAGCUAGGGGAGCGAAUGGG
rnacentral:rRNA from 1 species